UUCUUCAUAAGCUCCCACACGAAUUGCUUGAUUCACUGGUUAGACGAUUGGGUCUGUAGCUCAGUUGGUUAGAGCGCACCCCUGAUAAGGGUGAGGUCGGCAGUUCGAAUCUGCCCAGACCCACCAAUUGUUGGUGUGCUGCGUGAUCCGAUACGGGGCCAUAGCUCAGCUGGGAGAGCGCCUGCUUUGCACGCAGGAGGUCAGGAGUUCGAUCCUCCUUGGCUCCACCAUCUAAAACAAUCGUCGAAAGCUCAGAAAUGAAUGUUCGUGAAUGAACAUUGAUUUCUGGUCUUUGCACCAGAACUGUUCUUUAAAAAUUCGGGUAUGUGAUAGAAGUAAGACUGAAUGAUCUCUUUCACUGGUGAUCAUUCAAGUCAAGGUAAAAUUUGCGAGUUCAAGCGCGAAUUUUCGGCGAAUGUCGUCUUCACAGUAUAACCAGAUUGCUUGGGGUUU
rnacentral:tRNA from 1 species